UACAGAGGUCUCAAGCGUUGUUCGGAUUCAUUGGGCGUAAAGAGCUCGUAGGCGGCUUGUCGCGUCGACUGUGAAAACCCGCGGCUCAACUGCGGGCCUGCAGCCGAUACGGGCAGGCUAGAGUUCGGUAGGGGAGUCUGGAAUUCCUGGUGUAGCGGUGAAAUGCGCAGAUAUCAGGAGGAACACCGGUGGCGAAGGCGGGACUCUGGGCCGAUACUGACGCUUAGGAGCGAAAGCGUGGGGAGCAAACAGG
rnacentral:rRNA from 1 species